AUUGAACGCUGGCGGCAGGCCUAACACAUGCAAGUCGAACGAGUUGCGGACGGGUGAGUAAUGUCUGGGAAACUGCCUGAUGGAGGGGGAUAACUACUGGAAACGGUAGCUAAUACCGCAUCCCAUCGGAUGUGCCCAGAUGGGAUUAGCUUGUUGGUUGGGUAACGGCUCACCAAGGCGACGAUCCCUAGCUGGUCUGAGAGGAUGACCAGCCACACGGGAACUGAGACACGGGCCAGACUCCUAGGGGAGGCAGCAGUGGGGAAUAGUGCACAAUGGGCGCAAGCCUGAUGCAGCCAUGCCACGUGUAUGAAGAAGGCCUUCGGGUUGUAAAGUACUUUAAGCGGGGAGGCGUUACCCGCAGAAGAAGCACAGGCUAACUCCGUGACAGCAGCCGCGGUAAGUA
rnacentral:rRNA from 1 species